GAUGUCACUGGUCCUCUUUGAGAAAGAAGGACAAACAACAACAACAUAAUUCAUCUACCUAAGUUCUCAUCUGUUUCUCAAAGCCCAUUAGCAUCAAGUCCAUUUCAUGGUUCAGAACAUUCCUAUAUAGCUUAUCACUAACUUUGCACAUUCUGAAUAACUCAUGACGAAGAAAAAGUUUUUUAAAUUGAAAAUGGAAAAUUGCUGUAAAUAGCUUGGCUAAUUAUUACAUUUCUGCAUCCUUAACUGCCACCUCUCUGUAUUUUUAGUGCUAAUAAUCCCAAAGGACUGUUAGAAGUUCGAGAAGCUCUUGAAAAAGUACACAAAGUAGAAGAUCUUCUUCCAAUUAUGAAGGACCUGAUGUGAUCAGAGGAGUGUUGCUGGGAAGAUUACUUGGUCAGCGGUGUGAAGAAUGGAUUUAGAGAAGAAUUAGACUGGAGACUGGAAGACCAGUUAAGAGGCUUCUACAAUAGUCCAGGCAAGAGGAAGAUCUCCAUCAUGUCAUGAUCUCCAUUUCACAGUUGAGGAAACUGAGGCAGACGGAAAAGUGAGUUGCCCAGGGUCAUUCAGCUGCAGUUUAACAGUAAAACAAGAGAUGGGUUCACUGUGAAUACAAAAGUUCCCAGCCUCAAAGACCAAGGGAAGGAAUAUGAUGGAUUCACAAUUACUAUAAGAGGAGACAAGUCCGUAUGCUUUAAAAAAGUAAUUGGCAAUAUAUUAUUUUCUAUGGAAACUCAAACCACAGAAGAAAGAACACAGUUAUAUCAUGCUGAAAUAGACGCACUGUAUAAAGAUCUCAAAACUAAAGGAAAAGUAUUAAUUCUUUCAUCAGAACUUGGGGAGGCUGAUGCUGUCUGCAACCUAAUGUCAUCCUUAGUUUACUACUUCUAUAACUUAAUGCCACUCUCCAGAGGAUCCAGGUCAGUGGUAUUCCUUAAUUAUCAAAAUUGUGCCCUGUGUGUGAACUGCCUUAGCAUACAAGUAGAAAAUUAAAUAUCAAGAAAAUAAAACAUUAGCCGACAGUACUCCUUUCCUGUCCCCCAAAAGACAACUAAAUGGUCCCCAUAAAACACCAUAUCAUCAGAAAAUGCCAGUUUUUUUAAAAAAUGGGACUUAUAUUAUUGUUUGUAGAUUAGUCAGCUAGGU